UUCACACCAAUCAACAUCUCUUGAUGAGUAUAUCCAGCUGAUGGCGGUCCCGUCCCAUUUUUCAUGGUCGUCGAAGUCCAACCAUUUUCUCAUUGACCGGCCAGCAAUAACUUCUUCCUCCUCUAGCAAAGCAAGAGGCAUUGCUACACAUAGCAUUGGCCCCUGAAAAGGUUCCGAUCAGUGCUUGUGUAACAAUCUCUCCGGCUUACCGGAAUCCACUAUUGUCAAAUAAAUUGAGCUCUAAUAGCGACUUCGUCUCCCUUUCCACGGAGUGCGUCUCCUAGCAUUUCUAGACUUCGUCUUUGAGAUAUUAGCUUUAAGCCGGAUGUAUCCCCUUCUAUGCAUGCUUCAAAUACACAUGAGGAUGAUGAUCCAGAUUAAGUGCGGUAUGAUCGUUAUCAUAGGAUGAUCAUAAGUUCUAAGGGCAAUGGGUUCAUACCUAGUCAUGAGACUACAAAAAUAAUCACUGAAGCUCUUGUCCGGUUGUAUGAUGCACCGCAUGCGACUUGGAGUGAUUUUCCACCGGAGCUCAUGGAGCAAAUUUUCAACCAAUUUUAAGACUAAGUGUGCAUGGGAGGACCGGCAUAACAAUGCAAUUCUUACAAAUUUUGAGUUCAAAUGUCGUAAGAAACUAGCUGAUUCCUUCUGUUCUGCUUGAAAGAAAAACAAGAAGCCUUCAUGGGUUUUAUCUCAUUUAUGGGAGGAUCUACUGAAGCAGAUGGCCACUGAGGAUUUCAAGAAGAAGAGUGAGCAAGGAAAGAAGGCCUGAGCAUCUGAGAAGGCUGGCUCCUUGUACUGUAUGGGUGCAAGGAGCAUAGGGAUUGCGAGGAGACUACUGGUUUUAUUAUAUUGUAUGAAACAAAUAUGGGAGGAAGGUGACUCACGAUGAGUUCUUCAUGGAGACUCACAUCCGGAAGAAGAAGGCACCGACAGAUCCAAGUAGAUGGGUCGAGGACC